UUGAAUCCUUAGGAUGUUGCUGGUCCCUAGGGGCAUGUGCACUCCGCCUUUCAAUACACCUGUGAACUCAUUGUAGGUAACAAAGUCUUUGUUACCUAUGUUUUUUAAACACCCAAAUUGUAUACUGAAUGUAAUGAUGUUGGCAAACUUAAUA
rnacentral:misc_RNA from 1 species